rnacentral:lncRNA from 1 species
CAACAGAGGAAUGUUAAUAGUAGAGCUGGCAAAGAGCAAAUGAAACAAGUGCAAGGGAGCAAAUAAGGAUAAAGGACCCAAUCCUGUUUUGAGACGCUGACUACUUUUAACUCCUGUUGACUCCUAUUCCUAAUGAGCAGGACAUAGGACACCAAUGUGUGCCUGGAUACACUGAAAAAUAAGAAGUUAUCUCGGGUGGGUUUUUU